AGGCUGCCUCUUUCAGGGCCAGGAGCACCAAGACGGGGAGGAGUUCGAGGGACCUGAGGGCAGCUGUGAGCGCUGCCGCUGUCUGGCUGGCCAGGUCAGCUGUAUGAGGCUCCAGUGCCCGCCUCUGCCCUGCUUGCUUCAGGCCACAGAACCAGGCACCUGUUGUCCUCGAUGCACAGGCUGCCGCGUUCGUGGGGAGGAGCAUCCUGAAGGUAGUAGCUGGGUGCCGGCGGACAGCCCCUGUUCUUCCUGCAUGUGUCACAAGGGCAUUGUCACUUGUGCCCAAGUCCAGUGUGUCAGCGCCUGCAUCUGGCCCCAGCAGGGGCCCAGUGACUGCUGCCCUUCAUGCUCUGGCUGUGAGCAUGAGGGCAGAAAGUACGAACCCGGGGAGAGCUUCCAACCUGGGGACGACCCAUGUGAAGUGUGCAUCUGCGAGCUGAAGGGCAAGGGGCCUCCCAGCCUGCACUGUCGCCGGCGCCAGUGCCCCAGUCUGGUGGGCUGCCCACCAAGCCAGCUACUUCCUCCUGGCCCCCAGCACUGCUGCCCUGCCUGUGCCCAGGCACUGAGUAACUGCACAGAGGACCUGCUGGGGUCUGAGCUGGUGCCACCAGACCCCUGCUACACCUGCCAGUGUCAGGAUCUGACAUGGCUCUGUACUCACCGGGCCUGUCCUGCGCUCAGCUGUCCCCUGUGGGAGCACCACACAACCCCUGGGAGCUGCUGCCCCGUGUGUAAAGACCCUACCGGAUCAUGCUCGCACCAGGGUCGCUGGGUGGCCUCUGGAGAACACUGGAUAGUGGACGCCUGCACCAGCUGUGCCUGUGUGGCUGGUACUGUGCACUG
rnacentral:lncRNA from 1 species